GGGACUCCGGGAUCGGGUGUUUUUAAGCUCGGGAUUUCGGGAUUGACCCUUUCGUGAUCCGGGAAUUCAUUUUUCGAAUUUUGGGACCUUUCGGGAAUUCAUGUUUUUUAAGCCCGGGAUUUCGGUAUUUCGUGUUUUUAAGCUCAGGAUUUCGGGAUCAGGACCCCUCCUACCCUCCCUCAUAUAUGUUAUAAUUGACUGAACUUAGAUAUUUAUGGUGAUAAUGACUUCACAUUCCAUUUUAAAUAUAUUAUUUAUACUUAAGGCACAUGUUGAAGUGAAGAUACCUUUGUAAGGGGAGAUAUUUUUUUGUUAAUUGAGGUUGAUAAACUUUGGUAAGGGGAGAUAAUUGUUCAAAUCAUAAAUGACUGGGAUAGACUUUGGUAAGAGCCUAAGGGGAGAUAUUUUUUGUUAAUUGAGGUUGAUAAAUUUUGGUAAGGGGAGAUCAUUUUUCAAAUCAUAAAUGACGGGGUUAGACUUUGGUAAGAGCCUAAGGGGAGAUAUUUUUUGUUAAUUAAGGUUGAUAAACUUUGGUAAGGGGAGAUAAUUUUUCAAAUCAUAAAUGACGGGGAUAGACUUUGGUAAGAGCCUAAGGGGAGAUAUUUUUGUUAAUUAAGGUUGAUAAACUUUGGUAAGGGGAGAUAAUUUUUCAAAUCAUAAAUGACGGGGAUAGACUUUGGUAAGAGCCUAAGGGGAGAUAUUUUUUGUUAAUGAAGGUUGAUAAACUUUGGUAAGGGGAGAUAAUUUUUCAAAUAAUAAAUGAAUGGGAUAGACUUUGGUAAGAGCCUAAGGGGAGAUAGUUUUGUUAAUGAAGGAUGAUAAACUUUGGUAAGGGGAGAUAAUUUUUCAAAUCAUAAAUGACGGGGAUAGAUUUUGAUAAGAGCGUAAGGUGAGAUAUUUUUGUUAAUGAAGGUUGAUAGACUUUGGUAAGGGGAGAUAAUUUUUCAACUCAUAAAUGACGGAGAUAGACUUUGGUAAGGGGAGAUAAUUUUUCAAAUCAUAAAUGACGGGGAUAGACUUUAGUAAGAGCCUAAGGGGAGAUAUUUUUGUUAAUGAAGGUGGACAGACUUUGGUAAGGGGAGAUAAUUUUUCAAAUCAUAAAUGACGGGGAUAGACUUUAGUAAGAGCCUAAGGGAAGAUAUUUUUGUUAAUGAAGGUGGACAGACUUUGGUAAGAGGUGAUAAUUUUUUAAUGAAGGAGAAUAAACUUUGGUAAGGCGAGAUGAUUAAGGGGG
rnacentral:lncRNA from 1 species